UUGAUUGGUGCUUGCAUCAUGAUUUACAUUUGAGUGAGUGGCGAACUGGUGAGUAACACGUGGGAAACCUGCCCAGAAGCGGGGGAUAACACCUGGAAACAGAUGCUAAUACCGCAUAACAACUUGGACCGCAUGGUCCGAGUUUGAAAGAUGGCUUCGGCUAUCACUUUUGGAUGGUCCCGCGGCGUAUUAGCUAGAUGGUGGGGUAACGGCUCACCAUGGCAAUGAUACGUAGCCGACCUGAGAGGGUAAUCGGCCACAUUGGGACUGAGACACGGCCCAAACUCCUACGGGAGGCAGCAGUAGGGAAUCUUCCACAAUGGACGAAAGUCUGAUGGAGCAACGCCGCGUGAGUGAAGAAGGGUUUCGGCUCGUAAAACUCUGUUGUUAAAGAAGAACAUAUCUGAGAGUAACUGUUCAGGUAUUGACGGUAUUUAACCAGAAAGCCACGGCUAACUACGUGCCAGCAGCCGCGGUAAUACGUAGGUGGCAAGCGUUGUCCGGAUUUAUUGGGCGUAAAGCGAGCGCAGGCGGUUUUUUAAGUCUGAUGUGAAAGCCUUCGGCUCAACCGAAGAAGUGCAUCGGAAACUGGGAAACUUGAGUGCAGAAGAGGACAGUGGAACUCCAUGUGUAGCGGUGAAAUGCGUAGAUAUAUGGAAGAACACCAGUGGCGAAGGCGGCUGUCUGGUCUGUAACUGACGCUGAGGCUCGAAAGUAUGGGUAGCAAACA
rnacentral:rRNA from 2 species